UACGAAGGGGGCUAGCGUUGUUCGGAAUCACUGGGCGUAAAGCGCACGCAGGCGGAUCGUUAAGUCAGGGGUGAAAUGCCGAGGCUCAACCUCGGAACUGCCUUUGAUACUGGCGAUCUUAGAGUCCGGGAGAGGUGAGUGGAACCCCGAGUGUAGAGGUGAAAUUCGUAGAUAUUCGGAAGAACACCAGUGGCGAAGGCGGCUCACUGGCCCGGUACUGACGCUCAGGUGCGAAAGCGUGGGGAGCAAACAGG
rnacentral:rRNA from 1 species